rnacentral:lncRNA from 1 species
AUCUGAUAUGAUUAAAUUGCGAAUAAUUCCUCUUUCAUUUUUUAUCAAUCAAUGGUAUUUGAGUGUUUGGGUUGUGUAUGCUAUUUCUGUUUUGUUGUAUACAAACAAAACACUCUUGAGCAACGUUUGAAACUUAGUUUUAGUUUAACCUGGGCAAGUUAGGUUUAGUUUUGGUUGUUUUGCAGUUUUGUAGGUCUCAACCAAUAAAAGAGAAUUACAAUAAAAAAACAGGAAAGCAAAGAAAAAUAUAAUUCACUUGAGAGUAUAUCCUAUUGUUUUGGACUUCUAGCUGAAUUACUAUAGCAAUUUUGUGUUGAAACAUGAAAAUUUAUAUUUUUUUAAAAAUAGAUCAUUAGCAAAUUAUGUUUUGCAUCAAUUUAGAGUUUAAUAUAUUAUUUUCUUGUUCGCUAAUAAUUUUAACAUAACAAUCUAAAUGUUUAUGAUUUUUUUGCUUGAGGAUCCAUUUUCAAAAUUGUGGUUCAUGAUGCUACAUAUGUACCUGCUGGUGUUCAGCAUUGGGCCAGUUGAAGUCCCCAUAAAUGUUCAAGCCUCAUAGUGGUCCACUAGGUGCGGACAUAUUUUGGGAGAAAGCAUUCGAGAUGCAAAAGCAUAUGGAUUAUAUGGGACAUUGGUUGCUCUUAUGUUGGAAGAAAUUUGCCUUCCGAGUAUAUGUUUGAAGAUUAGUAGCUUAAAUUGUGUACCUUUUGUUUAUUUAUUCAUCUUUGUUGCUUAUGUCCUGAUUGUACACUGCAUUGGGUUGCUUAAAAUUUGAUCACAGUCCAUCGGUGGAUAUUGUUAUUUUUUAGGUCAAUAUGUCAUACUCAAAUAGAUCUCAAAAAGUGUCAAAGAGUAUACAUAGAAUCUUGUUCUUAUUUGUUUCUAUUCCACUAUUUUAAUCUAUUUCUAUGAAUGGUGCUUUAUAUGGAUGUUCCUAAACCACCAUUUGAAUAUGGCUAUUGUAUUCACUGCAUACUUCAUAAGCACUAUGCAGCACUACAAUCACCCACAUAUCCUGAAGGUGUUUUAGAAACUUGUUGUAGAUAAUCAAACCUCUGUCAUAGAUUUACUCUAAAUCUUGUUAGAUAUUUGGCUUGCAUUUUGAUCCUGUUUAGGGUAUGAUUGUUGUUAAAGGAUCUAUUUUGUGCGUAUAGGUUAUUGCAAUUCCAGGUGCCUUCCUGAAUGGUAUUCAAUGAGAAUCUAAAUUUUAUAUGUUUCUAAUUUUUCUUUCUGCAAUAAAUUCUCAACACCUCCCCAUUUUUCUUCUUUUCUAACUCUCUCAUAAGAUUAUUAAGUUGUCUUCUUAGUUCUUACAAGAAGGAUACCUUGUAAUUUAUAUAUUGUACCCCUAGAGUUUCAUGGAAGCUGCAACGGCCUAUUUAAGAGUUUACUUAUUUACAUAUUUGGCAAUAAUCAAGAGUUUGUGCUUAUACAGAUUUAUCAAUUAGCAAGCUAUCCCAUAUUUUUUAAUUGUGCCAGUUCUAUGCUCUAAAGGUGUGGUUCUUACUCCUUGGAUUGUGGGUGUAACGCUUUGUCAUGCCUUCUUGGUGGUGCAAUGAAAACGUUGCUUUUCAAGUUCUUUCUCUUCUUAACUUUCCUCUUCGCUUUAUUAUAAAUUUUCCAUUUAAAUUAGCAUCUACCUCUCUAAACCAUCAAUUGAUCCACAAAUUCUUAAACUGCAGUGCUUCCAUAUCUUCUCAUUAUUUAAAUAGAAUCAAAUAUUUGAAUUUCCAUGAGUAUAGAACAAACAUGAAAUUUCUCUCUCUUCAUUAAGACCCUUGAAGAUGCAAAUCAUCCUUAUCUCCUUAUUCUUUUGAUUAAUUUUAUCUCCGACACAAUUGUGCAACAACAUUCCAUCAUGUAUAGCACAAGUCGAGACAAUUUUUAUACCAUUAUUAUUCUUAACCAUAUAAAUUUGUUCUUAUUACCCUUGUGCCCCUGGAAGCUAAAUAUCAUAUUCCCAUACCUUUUUAUACAUUUUGAGCACUGAAGCUUCAUCCAUUUUAUCAUUCUUCAUCAGCUUUAUAACCAACUCCCUAACCUAAUGUCAACCCUUAAUGAGUUAAUACUGGAUUUUUGCACAGUGCAGCAUUGGGCAAGUGGGAAACUGGCCAUGUCUGAAGCCUGCAUGGUGAAAAGGGAGAUCUUUAUCUUAUUGUUUAUAUAGUCUAAGCUAAUGGAACUGAGAUGCGACCAUCCAAGGUGUGGGGAUAUUGAAAGGUCUGAUACCAAUUGUGGGGGAGAUGAACCGUUUCAAACCACAACACCUAGGGCGUUCUCUUGGCUGCUAGAGGCGUGGAUCACUAGUUCUUUGAUGGUGGAGGAGAACAAGAGCCAAGCGGAAAUAGGCUUUUCUUGCUUAUAGCUGAACACAACUCCUAAUCAGGUUAAGACUUCUCCCUUCUGUGCGGCUGAUGGGUGGUUCAAGUCCUUGGACGUGAAGAGCGUCUCCUUUGAUGGCUGCGUGCCCUAGGGUUCUCUUGGAGAUGGCGGCUUACAUGCAUGAGAGAAAGAGAAGAGAAGAGAAUAGGGUUUUCAGGAAGAAAGGAGUUUCAUCUAAUUUUAUUCCAUACAUACACAAAAUACAUGAGUGUAUAUAUACAUAAUCAAUCAUGACCCAAACCCAAAAAUUUUUCUAAGCUAAACCACAUGAGAAAGCACUCAACUCAAGCCCAUGUAUACCCAUGACUUGCAUGCUCUCUCUCCCUUGGAGCCUAAAUUUAGCCCAAUAAUGGUUAGCCUCAAGACCCGAAUUACCCGAGUCUCAAGCAGGUAGAAGACCAAUUUUUGUUUCUACCUAAAUCUGGCGCAGGCUUGGGGUCGACCCUUUAACAGCAUUAGUCGGUCCCAGCUCUGCAGGGGUCAACCCCAGAUCAGCAUGAGUUGGCCCCAGCUUUGCAGGGGUCGACCCUAGAUCAGCAUGAGUCGACUUCUGCACUGUUUCCACUGCAGUUUCUUGCAUUUCUUGCUUUAGAUGCGCCACACUUGUGCCCACAAUCUUCACCUUGUCCAUCAAUCCUAUCAGCCCCACACAUGAGAGAACUAUUCCACGGAAGAAUCUUCGUAAGUGCAUCCGACUGGUUCUUCAUAUCAACUUUAACCAGCACCACUUCACCUUCUUCCACCAGCUUCCUGAUCCUGUGGUACCUCAUAUCUAUAUGCUUUGUGCGAGCAUGAUAAACUGAAUUCUGAACCAACUGCAGAGCAUUUUGACUGUCACUGUGUAGCACCACUGUACCUUGCUUCAUGCUCAUCUCCUGAAUGAGUUUCUUCAACCAAAGAGCCUCCUUGGUAGCCUCUAUAAUCUCUAUAUAUUCGGCCUCUGUGGUAGACAAGACCGUGAUAGGUUGAAGGGUUGAUCUUCAAGAAACAGGUUCACCGUACAUGCAGAAGACAACCUGUAGUAGACCUUCUUGUAUCUAGAUCAUCUGCAAAGUUAGCAUCAACAAAUCCUUCUAAUGUACCUGAAAACUCACUUGAGACAUUUGAGUUCCUCGUAGGUCCAUCUUGCUGCCCAAAAAUCAGACCAAGCCUCCGAGUUUCUUGAAGAUAUCGAAAGAUCCACUUCAGUGCCUUCCAGUGCUCAUUUCCAGGGUUUGCCAUGUACCUGCUCACCUGGCUCACUGCAUGUGCUAUGUUUGGCCUACAACACACCAUAGCAUACAUCACGCUGCCCAUGGCACUAGCAUACAGAACUUUUUUCAUGUACUCUCUCUUUAUCUGUCUGAGGGCACUGCAGCUUGGAAAGAGUCAUGUGGCUUGCAAGAGGUGUUCCAACCGGUUUGGCUUCAUUCAUCCCAAACCUCUCCAACACCUUCUGAAUAUAUCCUCCAAAUGACAAGUGGAGAAUACCCUUGCUUCUAUCUCUGAAAAUUUCCAUCCCAAGUAUCUUCCUGGAUGGAUCCAAAUUCUUUAUCUCAAAUUCUGAAGACAAUGUAAUUUUUAGCCCAUUCACUGCAUCGGCACUCCUACUGGCAUUGAGCAUAUCAUCCACAUACAAAAGUAGAUACAGUGCAUCAUCCUCAUCCACAUCCUUCACAUAGACAGCUAUCAUGUUCACAUAUGAAAAAACCAAGGCUUAAGACAAGUAUCAAACCUUUUGUAUUGCUAUCGGGGUGACUGCUUCAAACCGUAGAGAGAUCUCUUGAGUAGACAGACCUUUUUCUCCAAUCCAGACUGCCUAAAACCAGCUGGUUGGUUCAUGUAAAUCUUCUCCUCUAGGCUCCCAUGUAAGAACGCUGUCUUCACAUCCAUUUGCUCCAAUUUUAUAUCAUACCGUGUUACCAAAGACAACAACACCCAAAUUGAAGCAUGUCGCACCAUUGGAGAGAAUACCUCGGUGUAGUCAACUUCCUCUCUCUAUGAGUACCCCUUUGCUACAAGUCUUGCCUUGUAUCUGACUCCACCUUGCUCUGAAGGUAUCUCCUUUGUGAAUACCUAUUUUGAACCAAUGGCCCGAGCAUUUUUAGGUAGAUCCACUAGCUGCCAUGUACUGUUCUUUUCUGGUGACUGCAUCUCUUCCAUCAUGGCCUGCAUCCAUGACUCCCGAUUUGAACUUUUUAUGGCUUCCUCAAAGAUCUCUAGAUUUCCAUUAGCAGUGAUGAGAGCAUAGGAGAUAGUCUCAUCAAUGCCAUAUCUGACAGGCUUGUAGAUGAUACGCUUCUGUAUAUGCGGUGCCACUCCCCUUACAAGGUCCUUCAAACCAGAACUGUGUGGCUCUACCUACACAUCCUUCUGGACAGAUGGCCCUCCUAGCUGGUCUUCCACAUAUGUGGGAACGUGCCUACCAAAUUCUAUCUCAAAAGAAACAAGUUUGGAGGUAGAAUUUGAAAGUACAUCACCUGCUAGUGAAUGCUGUCCAUUGCUGUCCUGUCUAGCCUUUUUAACAUCAUCUGCGAUUCCCGGCUUCUUCAGAAUGCUCUUCUUAUCAAAGAUCACAUCUCUACUGAUAGUACACUUAUGAGGAUCCCGCAGCAAGUAGCCUUUGACUCUGUGGAUAUUCGAUGAAGAUCAUCUUCUGCGACUUCGGGUCUAAUUUGCUUCUUUCGGUUGCCUCCACAAGUGCAUAGGCCCGAUAACUAAAAACCUUUGGGUAGUCAAGCUCCACCUUCUUUCCACUCCAGAUCUUCUCUGGAAUGCCUCCAUCAAGUUUGCGAUUUGGGGACCUGAUAACAAGAAAACAUGAAAAUGUUAUCGCAUCACCCCAAAAAGACUUGAGAAGUGAUGCCUACAACCUCAGACUUUUGGCCUUCUCUGUCAAUGUUUGGUUUAUCCUUUCGGCUACACUGUUCUGUUGGGGAGUCAUCCUCACUGUGAAAUGGCAUUUAAUCCCAUUCUCCUCACAGUACCUUCUGAAUUCGCUGCUAGUGUACUCACCUCCAUUGUCAGACCUUAGGCAUUUCACUGGCUUCCCUGUUUUCUUUUCAACUUCAGUUCUCCAAGAUUUGUGGGCAAACACCUCUGUUUUUUCUCUUAUCAGAUACACCCAUACCUUUCUGGAGAAGUCAUCAAUGAAUGUCAAGAAAAAUUUAGCUCCACCUCUGGCCGAAACAAGAGCCGAUCCCCAAACAUCUGAGUGAACUAGGUCCGGUAUACCUUCACUCCGCUUGAAACUGCUGGCAAACUUUACCCUAUGCUGCUUGCUAUAUAUGCAGAGCUCACAUGUCAUUCUCCUCCUUUUCAACUACUGGAAUCAGACCUUUCUUACCGAGUUCCGUGAGUCCUCCAUCGCUCAUGUGCCCCAUCCGAUGGUGCCACAGUUGGUAUGCCAACUGUUUCUCCUGUGCUGCCGCCAACACCUCUGCACUAUCUGUCACAACUGAGUCCUCCAUCUCAUACACAUUAUUAUUCAAUCUUCUCCCUUUCAUCACUACCAAAGCCCCCUUGGUGAUUCUCAAACAACCACUGCUUGGUUGGCUUCCAAAAGCACUCCUAUGCUUCUUCAGAUAGCCCAAUGAAAUCAGAUUUUUCUUCAACUCCAGGACAUAUUUGACAUUGGUCAGUGUUUUAAUGACCCCAUCAUACAUCCUCACCUUUAUGGUACCAACACCAGCAACCUUGCAAGAAUGAUCAUCACCAAGGCUUAUACUUCAUCCAUCGAUUUUAUCAUAAGAAGCAAACCACUUCCGAUGCGAAGUGUAGUGAUGAGAGCAUGCUGAAUCUAGUGUCCACCGGCUGUCAUCCUUCAUGGUCCCAUAUGAAACUACCAGUAGAUCAUCCCCACUGUCUUCAGAUGAAUUAGCACCACCAUGGCUUGCCAAACCACCCUUUAAAAGGCUCUUUCCCUUCUCAAUUUUCAGCAAUGGACAGUUCUUCUUCAUGUGACCAAGCUGAUGACACUUGAAGCACUGAAGCACUUCCAUGCUUUCCGCUUGCCCCGAGACUUAGAUCUGCCAUUGGACUUGUCUCUAACUUUUUCCCUGGGUCUCCCUUGCCUCUCAUUUACAGCAAGAACUUCUGAGUUAGAACUCCCUUUGCAAAUCUUCUCUUUUUGCUCAUUAGAUCGAAGAACACCAACUACCUCUUCAUAAUUCAGGGUUUUUUUCCCAUACACCAAAGUAGUAAUCAACCCAUCAUAAGACCCCGGAAGAGAAUACAACAGAAGAAGGGUCCUAUCCUCUUCCUCAAUCCACACAUCAAGACUCACAACUUUCGAACACACUUGAUUAAAUUUCGGCAUCCGCAAACUGUACAACUGUUUUGUCAACCACAUCUUGUUUGUCAUGCUCUUUCCCAUGUAUGUGUUUUCUAACCUCUCCCAUAGCCCUUUGGCCGUGGUCUCUGAGCAAAUCUUAGGUAGAACUUGAUCAGCCAAGCACAUCCUAAUGGUGCUAAAGGCUAUCUCCUCUAAGUCCUCCCAAUCUUCAACACUGAUCUUUUCCUUUCUUUCCCUUACCAAGACCUUAUAGAUCCUUUGCUGUACUAGCAAAUCCUUCACCCUUUGCUGCCAUAGGGUGAAGUUCCCCUUUCCAUCAAACUUCUCAAAAUCCGUCUUAAGAUUGCUAGAAGCCAUACCGCAAAACAGAAAUCAAAGAACGCGGAAAUUUUGUUUUGAAAUCUUACCCGCUGAUUUUGAUCUUUCCUCCAUCAAAUCACCAAUCAAUGGCUCUGAUACCAAUUGUGGGAGAUGGAAAGCUCUGAUACCAAUUGUGGGGGGGAUGAACCGCCUCAAACCACAGCACCUGGGGCGUUUCCUUGGCUGCUAGAGGCGUGGAUCACUGGUUCUUGGAUGGUAGAGGAGAACAAGAGUCAAGCGGAAAUAGGCUCUGCUUGCUUAUAGCUGAACACAAGUCCUAAUCAGGUUAGACUUCUCCCUUUCUUCCGUGCGGCUAAUGGGUGGUUCAAGUCCUUGGACGUGAAGGACUUCUUCUUUGAUGGCUGCAUGCCCUAGGGUUCUCUUGGAAAUGGCAGCUUACGUGCAUGAGAGAAAGAGAAGAAAAGAGAAUAGGGUUUUCAGGAAGAAAGGAGUUUCAUCUGAUUUCAUUCGACACAUACACAAAAUACAUGAGUGUAUAUAUAUGGUCAAUCAUGACCCAAACCCAAAAAAUCUCCUAGGCUAAACUACAUGAGAAAGCACUCAACCCAAGCUCAUGUACACCCAUGACUUGAAUGCUCUCUCUUUCUUUGAGCUUAAACCUAGUCCAAUAAUGGUUAGCCCCUCAAGACCCAAAUUACCUGAUUCUCAAGCAUGUAAAAGAUCAAUUUCCGUCUCUACCUAAAUUUGGCGCAGGCUUGGGGUCGACCCUUUAACAGCAUGAGUCGGCCCCAGCUCUGCAGGGGUCAACCCCAGAUCAGCAUG